UUCUCUCACAAUUUCGGGUUGCCACAGAAAGUCUAGAAACCCGUCAGGCAGAGAAUCGUAACCCACCCCUUCCAGAAGUUCCAUGACUUCCAGACGUUUACUGAGCCAAAUCUAUAGAUAAGAGAAAAGCGAUCCAGAGGGAGAUAGAGAGAUCGACUGUGAUAGAGAGAGAGAGAUCGGGUGUGUGUCUUUCCUUUCUCUCGAUGUGAGCUCUGAAAAGCAGAGGAGUAGAGUGAUUCUUGAAGUUCAAGUAAACCCGGCAUGUCAUACAGGUCUGGAAGACCCGACCACGUGUCAUUUUAAUUUGUCUGUUGCGAUUAAACUUCUUUAGCAAGUUCAGUUUUAGAGAGAGGAAUCAUUCUCAAAAAAAAGUUUUAGAAAGAGGAAUCUAAACACUUUUUCCAAUUUUGUGUAAAAAUUUGUGAUUGGAGAAUGGAGAUGUUCAAUAGGGUUUCGAGACGUGGUUUACAAGUAGUCAAGACCUUCCUGUCGAAGGAGUCUGAGAUGAGUCGUCAUAUCAAUUUCUAAUUGUUAGGACCGCGUUGAGUAUGACACAAUAUGUUUUUCAUGUGCCAAAGACGAGUUCAGACCAUAUCAUCACUAGGCACCAAUACAAUAGGACUUGGUCCAAUAGACAAGCCAACUAUAUAUCAAAUCCAAGCAGGGGUUGGUUUGUUUUGUUUGUUCCUGUUCAUGUAUAGGCAGAACGACUUUGUAUUCAUCGAACCAGGGUAAUUGCAAGGAUGUUGCAGAUGACUAGUAGUAGAGUCCGAGCCCAUAAUUCCAGAUUAUUCUGAUUGAUUUGAUAUAGGAGUCUCUUACUGGAAAGGGUGGAGGAAAAAUGAGAUGCUGAUGGAUGUUGUAUUCGGAAGUUUCAUGUGUCUAUCUACCUUUCUGCUUGCUACGAGGGCUCUUUUCAGCACAUUCCCUAGAUCACUCGGGUACAAAGACCUUCUGCUGGCACUACUUAUUAAUUUCAAGAUGUUUCUAAUUGCAAUGAUGGUCUGGGAAUGUCCUAUGAUUGUGAUCAUUGAUUUAUUUGUGUUAUCCUCCCACACAGUGGCACUCAAAGUUUAUGGCUUGGAUGACUCUGGUGGGGUGAUGAAGGUAGUAGCUACCAAAAUUUUACUUGAUGAAAAUAUGAAGGAAAAUGCUUAUGACCCGUACGCAUAAUGAGGCUGAGCUUCAAAUUGACUGGUGUUGCUUCCAUGAAAGUUCUCGUUGCCUCCACGCUCUUGUUCGUUGGCAAAUUGGUUGGAUCGGUUCCAUCGUUGAUGAAAGCAUCUCAUCAUGUCUUGGAAUGACAAAAGACCCAACAGGCCUUCUCAGAAAUGGAUUAAGCAAAACAGGCAUAGAGUCAGGCAAAUAAUAGACAAUGAAAAAAAGGGAUUUUGUUUGACGACCAAACCAGAAAACAGUUGAGAACAAUCUUUGGAGAAGAGUUAGAAGAGGCGCUAGAUGGCAAAAUAUGCAUGGAACUCACACACUUCACAACUUUGGUGAAGUCAGACAUGCCCUUGUAAGUCUCUCUACAUUUAAUUACAUAUACUUUCUUUAGGGUCUAAGGUUUUGCAUUAAAUUUCAAAGGUGUGUAUCAGAAUUCACAAAGCUUCAUGAUAUGGCUCGUUGUGUGAGAAGUAAUCCUUGUAAAGAUAGAAGAAGGGGUGAGAAAGGUGAACAGUUAUUCACACAAACCUAAAAGCUAGUACCUAUUAAUUUUUUAGAUUACUUUUGGGAUUACGAUAAUCUAAGAGCAAAGGAACAGAGAGAGACAGUAUGAGUUAACAACUUAACAUUGAUUUUUCCAAGGCUAUCAUGUGCAUAAUCAUUGCUCCAUAAAAUGUGUAUAUACUACAAGACAUCAUGUGGCACCAAAAACAAAAGCAAUGCUUAAAACAA